UUCUCUCUCAAAUAUCAAUUCAACCCCAAAUCCAAACCUGAUCAUAAUUUCAAAAACUCAUUCCAAUAUCUCUCUCUACUCUCUCUCUCUCUUCGAUGAAGAAUACAAAGCCCUAAUUUCGAUGUACUCACGGAAGAUGAAUCCCCAAAUUGUUCUUCCUGGUCACUAAGAUAAAUCUGAGCAAUUGAACUCUCACCUCUCCCUUAAAUCUAGAGCUUCCUCGAAUCCCCUCUUCGCUGGUCACUAAAAUCCCCAAAUUGUUCUUCACCUGCACCAACCCGAAUCCUAGAUUCCGCAAAUCGUCAAUUGUGUUGAUCAUCUAUUCGAUGUGUUUCAUCAAUCUCGAAUCCUGACUCACAAACACACAAAACAGGAUGGACGAUACUUGUGUUGUGUGUGCUGAAACCCUAUAAUGGAUUGCUUACGGAAGAUGUGGACACAAGGAUGUUUGUUCCACAUGCGUUGCUCGUCUUCGAUUUAUUUAUAAUGAUCGUCGUUGCUUCAUCUGCAAAUUUGAGUCCUCGAUCAUCUUCGUUACCAAGAAAAUGAAGUACACAAGCUUUGUCAUAUAUGCAUCUGAUGUUGCUGUUAUUCUCUUCUCCUCCAAUGACAAGCUGUUUCAUUACUCCAGUUCAAGUUGCUUCUGCUGGUUUUGGCAAUUGAGUUUGUGUCGUUUUGGAGCUGGCUACCAAAUCGUUCAACCUAUGUGCAGUAUGAAAGCGAUAAUGAUAAUGAAGAUUCAGAACUGGACUACUAAUCAUCAUCGAUUCAUCACUUUCAGUAGCAGGUCAUGUCGAAUUCCGUUCGUCUUCUUUUUGUUAUUCUUAUUAUUAUGCUGAUUGGAUACAAUGACAUUGCAUACGGUGUUGUCGAUGAGUACAAACGAGAUCACCUGAUUUCGUUUUUGGCCAAAGAACUUCUACAUAUCAGAAAAUGAAGUAUACAAGCUUUGUCAUAUAUGCAUCUGAUAUUGCUGUUAUUCUCUUCACCUCCAAUGACAAGUUGUUUCAUUACUCCAGUUCAAGUUGCUUCUGUUGGUUUUGGCAAUUGAGUUUGUGUUGUUUUGGAGCUGGCUACCAGAUCAUUCGACCUAUGUGCAGUAUGAAAGCGAUGAAAGUGAUCAUGAUAAUGAAGAUUCAGAACUGGACUACUAAUCGUCAUUGAUCUAUCACUUUCAGUAGCAGGUCGUGUCGAAUUCCAUUCGUCUUCUUUUUGUUAUUCUUAUUAUUAUGCUAAUUGGAUAUAAUGACAUUGCAUACGGUGUUGUCGAUGAGUACAAAUUAGAUGAUUUUCCACCUGAUUUCGUUUUUGGCCAAAGAACUGCAUAUCAGGUUGAAGGAGCGGUGUUGGAAGAUGGGCGUACUUACAUCAUCUGGGACAUUUUUGCACAUGCAUGUAUUAAUAUAAUGUAUUCUUUAUGUUGUUUGGACUUUCCGUGGACAAUUUUCUAAUGGUACAUAACGUGUUUUUCGAAUUUAUGUUGAGUUGAACUCAUCGACAACAUAAAACUUUGCAAGAAAAGAAUUGCAAUCUUCAAAAAAAAAUGAGCAUUUUCUUGAAAUUUAUAAGUUAACUAAAUAUACAUUUCUUUACAAUAUUGAAGUGUUUGUGAUGUAAUUGGAGAUCAAGCUGCAUGAGAUACUGAGCGAGGGUGAUGAAAACUCUGGGUUGGAUUCAUCUGAUCAUGUAAUCCAAAAGUAUAAUGGUAAUUUCGUUUUAAUUUUUUAAAACUUAUUUUGUAGCUUUUAUUGUCUAAAUUACUAGCUAUAUAA
rnacentral:lncRNA from 1 species